CAGUCGCCACGGUAAUACGAAGGGUGCAAGCGUUACUCGGAAUUACUGGGCGUAAAGCGUGCGUAGGUGGUGGUUUAAGUCCGUUGUGAAAGCCCUGGGCUCAACCUGGGAAUUGCAGUGGAUACUGGGUCACUAGAGUGUGGUAGAGGAUAGUGAAAUUUCCGGUGUAGCAGUGAAAUGCGUAGAGAUCGGAAGGAACAUCUGUGGCGAAGGCGACUAUCUGGGCCAACACUGACACUGAGGCACGAAAGCGUGGGGAGCAAACAGGAUUAGAUACCCCAGUAGUCCCUGUCUCUUAUAC
rnacentral:rRNA from 1 species